rnacentral:misc_RNA from 1 species
AGUUUUCUUACACCAAAAACUUUAUUAGCAGUAUGGCAAUAACAGUAUUACUGGUUGUUUUCCCUGUAUGCUUCAUUGCAUCUAAUUCCGCCCUUCUGUUUCACGGAGACAACAUCCCGGGACACACAACCACCCUUGGACCACUAGGAAAAGAUGCCUACCUCUCACUUCUGGUGCAGGAGGUUUUGGAUCUUAAAGCUCAAGUUAAUAGUCAACAACAAGAAAUUCAAUCGCUGAAGAUCCAAAAAGUGUCCGAGGAAAAUGCAACGGCUAAUACUGUGAAUAAAUUGAUGUCCGAAUAUAUUGACAUUAAAUCUUCUUUUGGAAUCAUUAAACAUGAGUUUGACCAGAACAACAGUCAAACUGGGCUUCUAGCUCUCAAAGCUAGGAUUGAUAACAUGGCGCAGUCUAUCCGAUAUUUGACUUUGUCCCUACACAGUCACGGGAUUCAAGAUGAGGAGACAAACAAGACAAUUUAUAGAGAAUUUGAACACUUGAACGCAAAAUUGUUGAGCGAAAACCAAGUUUUGCACGAAGAAAUUCAGAAUUUAACAUAUAUCGAAUCUGCAGAAAUCCACCGAAUCGAAGUUGUACAGCAGACAAAACUCACAACAUUGGGAUCAGAAAUAGCAACACAGAUAACUAAACUAAACAACACUAUUCUUCGUCUUUCUGAUUAUAAAAUUCGGCUAGUUGGAGGAGAUUCAAACUCUGGCAGAGUGGAGGUUUUGUAUUUUGGACAGUGGGGGACAGUUUGUGAUGACAGAUUUGAUAACAAUGAUGCUAAAGUUGUGUGUCGAAUGCUUGGAAAGGCCACGUAAGUAUACAUGUACAUAGAUGAAAUUAGAUUUCUUUAACAUUUAAGUAUGUAUCUAAAUAAAAUAAAAUUUGAAUGAUUAAGUACCGAAAAAAGGUUAAUUUCAUGGUGUCGUUCUUCUAAACGUAGAACAUUUGGAUCACAAUGAAACAUAGGAUACAUAUUCAAAUAUCACUUUAGCCAUAUGAUUUUAUUAUUUAGGAAAUUAUAGUGAUUUGAUGAAGAGAAGAUGCAAAUAUGUUAGGCAUAAAAUUUGAAAACUUUCUUUUACCUAUGUACGGAGUCUAAAACUGACCACGACUAUGAAUCCCUCUAACAAUAUCUACUAAAUUCAACAGUAGGAAAAGGGUAAAACAAGAUCAUUCAUCAAUGUUUAUGCUGAUUCCUUUUUUAGAUAACAAAAGAUAUUAAACAUGUGAAAUCCAUAAAAACGAUACC